rnacentral:rRNA from 1 species
GGUUAAGCGACUAAGCGUACACGGUGGAUGCCCUGGCAGUCAGAGGCGAUGAAGGACGUGCUAAUCUGCGAAAAGCGUCGGUAAGGUGAUAUGAACCGUUAUAGCCGGCGAUGUCCGAAUGGGGAAACCCAGUGUAAUUCGUUGCACUAUCGUUAACUGAAUACAUAGGUUAACGAGGCGAACCGGGGGAACUGAAACAUCUAAGUACCCCGAGGAAAAGAAAUCAACCGAGAUUCCCCCAGUAGCGGCGAGCGAACGGGGAGCAGCCCAGAGUCUGAAUCAGCUUGUGUGUUAGUGGAACGGUCUGGAAAGUCCGACGGUACAGGGUGAUAGUCCCGUACACCAAAAUGCACAGGCUGUGAACUCGAAGAGUAGGGCGGGACACGUGGUAUCCUGUCUGAAUAUGGGGGGACCAUCCUCCAAGGCUAAAUACUCCUGACUGACCGAUAGUGAACCAGUACCGUGAGGGAAAGGCGAAAAGAACCCCGGCGAGGGGAGUGAAAAAGAACCUGAAACCGUGUACGUACAAGCAGUGGGAGCACCUUCGGGUGUGACUGCGUACCUUUUGUAUAAUGGGUCAGCGACUUAUAUUCUGUAGCAAGGUUAACCGUAUAGGGGAGCCGCAGGGAAACCGAGUCUUAACUGGGCGUUAAGUUGCAGGGUAUAGACCCGAAACCCGGUGAUCUAGCCAUGGGCAGGUUGAAGGUUGGGUAACACUAACUGGAGGACCGAACCGACUAAUGUUGAAAAAUUAGCGGAUGACUUGUGGCUGGGGGUGAAAGGCCAAUCAAACCGGGAGAUAGCUGGUUCUCCCCGAAAGCUAUUUAGGUAGCGCCUCGUGAACUCAUCUUCGGGGGUAGAGCACUGUUUCGGCUAGGGGGUCAUCCCGACUUACCAACCCGAUGCAAACUACGAAUACCGAAGAAUGUUAUCACGGGAGACACACGGCGGGUGCUAACGUCCGUCGUGAAGAGGGAAACAACCCAGACCGCCAGCUAAGGUCCCAAAGUCAUGGUUAAGUGGGAAACGAUGUGGGAAGGCACAGACAGCCAGGAUGUUGGCUUAGAAGCAGCCAUCAUUUAAAGAAAGCGUAAUAGCUCACUGGUCGAGUCGGCCUGCGCGGAAGAUGUAACGGGGCUAAACCAUGCACCGAAGCUGCGGCAGCGACACUAUGUGUUGUUGGGUAGGGGAGCGUUCUGUAAGCCUGCGAAGGUGACCUGUGAGGGUUGCUGGAGGUAUCAGAAGUGCGAAUGCUGACAUAAGUAACGAUAAAGCGGGUGAAAAGCCCGCUCGCCGGAAGACCAAGGGUUCCUGUCCAACGUUAAUCGGGGCAGGGUGAGUCGACCCCUAAGGCGAGGCCGAAAGGCGUAGUCGAUGGGAAACAGGUUAAUAUUCCUGUACUUGGUGUUACUGCGAAGGGGGGACGGAGAAGGCUAUGUUAGCCGGGCGACGGUUGUCCCGGUUUAAGCAUGUAGGCUGGUUAUCCAGGCAAAUCCGGAUAAUCAAGGCUGAGGUGUGAUGACGAGGCACUACGGUGCUGAAGUAACAAAUGCCCUGCUUCCAGGAAAAGCCUCUAAGCAUCAGGUAACACGAAAUCGUACCCCAAACCGACACAGGUGGUCAGGUAGAGAAUACCAAGGCGCUUGAGAGAACUCGGGUGAAGGAACUAGGCAAAAUGGUGCCGUAACUUCGGGAGAAGGCACGCUGGUGUGUAGGUGAAGUCCCUGCGGAUGGAGCUGAGACCAGUCGAAGAUACCAGCUGGCUGCAACUGUUUAUUAAAAACACAGCACUGUGCAAACACGAAAGUGGACGUAUACGGUGUGACGCCUGCCCGGUGCCGGAAGGUUAAUUGAUGGGGUUAUCCGUAAGGAGAAGCUCUUGAUCGAAGCCCCGGUAAACGGCGGCCGUAACUAUAACGGUCCUAAGGUAGCGAAAUUCCUUGUCGGGUAAGUUCCGACCUGCACGAAUGGCGUAAUGAUGGCCAGGCUGUCUCCACCCGAGACUCAGUGAAAUUGAACUCGCUGUGAAGAUGCAGUGUACCCGCGGCAAGACGGAAAGACCCCGUGAACCUUUACUAUAGCUUGACACUGAACAUUGAGCCUUGAUGUGUAGGAUAGGUGGGAGGCUUUGAAGCGUGGACGCCAGUCUGCGUGGAGCCAACCUUGAAAUACCACCCUUUAAUGUUUGAUGUUCUAACGUUGGCCCCUUAUCGGGGUUGCGGACAGUGUCUGGUGGGUAGUUUGACUGGGGCGGUCUCCUCCCAAAGCGUAACGGAGGAGCACGAAGGUUAGCUAAUCCUGGUCGGACAUCAGGAGGUUAGUGCAAUGGCAUAAGCUAGCUUGACUGCGAGCGUGACGGCGCGAGCAGGUGCGAAAGCAGGUCAUAGUGAUCCGGUGGUUCUGAAUGGAAGGGCCAUCGCUCAACGGAUAAAAGGUACUCCGGGGAUAACAGGCUGAUACCGCCCAAGAGUUCAUAUCGACGGCGGUGUUUGGCACCUCGAUGUCGGCUCAUCACAUCCUGGGGCUGAAGUAGGUCCCAAGGGUAUGGCUGUUCGCCAUUUAAAGUGGUACGCGAGCUGGGUUUAGAACGUCGUGAGACAGUUCGGUCCCUAUCUGCCGUGGGCGCUGGAGAAUUGAGGGGGGCUGCUCCUAGUACGAGAGGACCGGAGUGGACGCAUCACUGGUGUUCGGGUUGUCAUGCCAAUGGCACUGCCCGGUAGCUAAAUGCGGAAGAGAUAAGUGCUGAAAGCAUCUAAGCACGAAACUUGCCCCGAGAUGAGUUCUCCCUGAGACUUUAAGUCUCCUGAAGGAACGUUGAAGACGACGACGUUGAUAGGCCGGGUGUGUAAGCGCAGCGAUGCGUUGAGCUAACCGGUACUAAUGAACCGUGAGGCUUAACCUU